rnacentral:rRNA from 1 species
UACGUAGGGUGCAAGCGUUGUCCGGAAUUACUGGGCGUAAAGGGCCAGUAGGCGGCCAACUAAGUCACACGUGAAAUCCCCAGGCUUAACCUGGGAACUGCGUGUGAUACUGGAUGGCUUGAAUUCGGGAGAGGGAUGCAGAAUUCCAGGUGUAGCGGUGAAAUGCGUAGAUAUCUGGAGGAAUACCGGUGGCGAAGGCGGCAUCCUGGACCGACAUUGACGCUGAACGGCGAAAGCUAGGGGAGCAAACGGG